CGGAUGAGGGAGCUUGCUCCUGGAUUCAGCGGCGGACGGGUGAGUAAUGCCUAGGAAUCUGCCUGGUAGUGGGGGAUAACGUUCCGAAAGGAACGCUAAUACCGCGUACGUCCUACGGGAGAAAGCAGGGGACCUUCGGGCCUUGCGCUAUCAGAUGAGCCUAGGUCGGAUUAGCUAGUUGGUGAGGUAAUGGCUCACCAAGGCGACGAUCCGUAACUGGUCUGAGAGGAUGAUCAGUCACACUGGAACUGAGACACGGUCCAGACUCCUACGGGAGGCAGCAGUGGGGAAUAUUGGACAAUGGGCGAAAGCCUGAUCCAGCCAUGCCGCGUGUGUGAAGAAGGUCUUCGGAUUGUAAAGCACUUUAAGUUGGGAGGAAGGGCUGUAGGCUAAUAUCCUGCGGUUUUGACGUUACCAACAGAAUAAGCACCGGCUAACUUCGUGCCAGCAGCCGCGGUAAUACGAAGGGUGCAAGCGUUAAUCGGAAUUACUGGGCGUAAAGCGCGCGUAGGUGGUUCGUUAAGUUGGAUGUGAAAGCCCCGGGCUCAACCUGGGAACUGCAUCCAAAACUGGCGAGCUAGAGUACGGUAGAGGGUAGUGGAAUUUCCUGUGUAGCGGUGAAAUGCGUAGAUAUAGGAAGGAACACCAGUGGCGAAGGCGACUACCUGGACUGAUACUGACACUGAGGUGCGAAAGCGUGGGGAGCAAACAGGAUUAGAUACCCUGGUAGUCCACGCCGUAAACGAUGUCAACUAGCCGUUGGAAUCCUUGAGAUUUUAGUGGCGCAGCUAACGCAUUAAGUUGACCGCC
rnacentral:rRNA from 1 species